rnacentral:misc_RNA from 1 species
GGCUUUAGUGCUCACCUGCACACGUUUGCACACACACAUACAUAUAUGUCUCGAUAUAUAUACAUCUGUAUGCAUUUGUGAUAUUGGGCAAGUCGCCGCGAACAUGGCCUCCACUGCGAAUGCCGGCGUGGAUGGCUUGUGCCCCGCGACGCGGGACGCCGCUGCUGAGGUGCUAUGGGCAAAGCUGGAUGAGGUGCAGAAGCUACUCGCGAAUAAGCCGGACGCGAAGGAGCUCUUCACCAAGUACACAGUGUUCCGCUCCGUGGUGGGCGAGGUGAAGCCCGUCUUCACCGACUCGGUGCGCACACGGGUGAAGGUGUUCUGCGAGGAGCCGGCCUUUGCCGUGCCAGAAGAAUGCGACGACUUCGAGCCAGUCUCGCUGCACGUUGUGGCGUACUUAAACUACACGCUCUUUAUGGAGGAGAUGAGGGAGCUGAUGGUGCAGGCGCGGCUGCUGAAGAGUAUCGGGAUGGAGGGCUCAGGACUGCGGUUCCAGCGCCGCGAGCAAAACAUCGUCGCGCCGGACAACGAACCGCGCACUGGAAGCAGCAGCAAGCCAUCUGGCCAGGUGUCAAUGCACAAGCCGAGCUACCGCCCUGCGACACUCAUCCCCGUUGGCACGCUGCGGAUGCGUCGGGUCUCGAAGGCGUCGGAGGCAGGAAAGCUUGCGGAGGUGGUUGCCAAGAUCGAGCGCGUGUGCGUUGUCAAGAGCGCUCGCUGCUUUGACGCCGGUCGGGCUUUGAUGAGAGCAGCCGAGAAGAUCGCCCGGGACGCUUUCCACGUCCGCUGGGCCCUUACAUACGCGCAGCUGAGCUCCAAGGAUUUUUAUACCAAGGCCGGCUACACGCCAAAGGACGGGCGUGCGUGCAUGGACUUGCAUACGCCGCAUGUUGUGAUGAUCAAGUGCUUGGUGGAUGCCUCGAUGUGAGGUGGUGGUCCGCACAUGCGCACAACAAUGCACGGCACUGCCGCCGAGAAGUGAAGCGCCGCUGAUGAGUUAGCUGGUGUCCUCUCCUUGUCGUUGUGUUGCUUCUGAUGGCGCUUGGUAUAUAUGUAUAUAUGUAUAUAUGUAUAUAUGUAUAUAUGUAUAUAUGUAGUACACAUGCAUAUAUGUAUAUAUGUAUAUAUGUAUAUAUGUAUAUAUGUAGUACACAUGCAUAUAUGUAUAUAUGUAUAUAUGUAUAUAUGUAUAUAUGUAUAUAUGUAUAUAUGUAGUACACAUGCAUAUAUGUAUAUAUGUAUAUAUGUAUAUAUGUAUAUAUGUAUAUAUGUAUAUAUGUAUAUAUCAUACGCCAGCAUGUGUGCGAGGCAACGAGGCGCGCGAGGGGCGGGUGAGCUUUGAAGCAUAGCACUCAAACGCGCGUGCAGUCUCUACCGCUCCCCUCUUCUCUCUUCCCUUCCCGCUUUGGUUUUGUUUUUUGCUUCGAGGGGAGGGGGGAGAAGGUAUAGGUGGGCGGUGGUGGGAGAACACCGCAUAUGUAACGCACACACGCACUGUGGGUGUGUCUCUCCUUGCGUUACCACGGGUGCCUGCUGCUCGCUUGCCACUUGGCAUUCGCCGAGCCACAGCCGCGGGUGACAC